CAAUGCCAUAGGCUAACAUAAAGGGGGUUUCUCCUGUGGUUGUCCUAUGCGUUGUUCUAUACGUCCAAAGUAUAGAAGGCAGCUCGUCGGACCAAGAUCCCCUAGCAUUGCCUAUUCUUGUUCGGAGGUCUUGUAAUAUGAUUUGAUUUGUUACCUCGGCCAGACCAUUGCUCUGAGGAUGUGAAACUGAUGUCAGACGGUGAUCAAUCCCAAUGUUUGAGCAAAAGUCCCUAAACUGUUGAUUGUCAAAUUGCCUGCUAUUGUCGGUGAUGAGGACCUUUGGUAUCCCAAACUUGCAAAUGAUAGAUCUCCAAGUGAAGGCUCUUAGUUUGGGCUCCGAUAUUGUGGCGAGAGGUUCGGCCUCUACCCAUUUUGUGAAGUACUCUACUGCUAUAGCAACAAACUUUAAUUGACCUCUAGCCACAGGAAAGGGACCGAGGAUAUCGACUCCCCAUUGUUCAAACGGGGCCGAACAGUUAAUGUUGGUUAGGUCUUCGGCUGGUGAGUGGAUAACAUUACCAAACCUCUGGCACCUAUCACAUCUUUUAACAUAUUCUGAGGCGUCUCUUUUCAUAGUUGGCCAAUAGUACCCAUAUCGUAUGAGUUUAAAGGCCAAGGCCCUGGCUCCUUGAUGAUUCCCGCACACACCUUCAUGAACUUCAGUAAAGGCCUGGGAUGACUCAGAUGGUCUAAGGCACCUUAGGUAUGGAAGAGUAAUACUUCUGUGGAAGAGGACACUGCUUAUCAUGCAGUACCUAGGAGCUCGAGCUCUGAUGCUUCUAGCCAACCUGGCAU
rnacentral:lncRNA from 1 species